CCAAUUCUAGUAAUAAAUCAUCUAUCGGUAUCCAAUAUACUGAAGCUGCCUAAUUGCAUUAUGAGCUCCCUCGAAGGAACACCGCCCAUAGCCAGGAAUGAACAGUUCCUAUUGUCUAGCCUGAAUAAAACAGCUUUGAUAUACUCCCUUAAAUCAUCAGUUUACCCACCAAGAAUUCUAGUGUUCUCCCUUGAACCAUUUUUCUUUUUCUACAAAACCCCCUAUACACACUCAACUAAGUGUUCUGAUGCCUGGAUCCAAAAUCUGCAUCAAUUACAUUGGGACGUUAUCUUCUCAUGACUGAUGGCUCUGGGGGCUCUGCCUGUCUCCAGCACUCCAGACCCUCAUCUACCACCACCACCUGGGAAACCCAAUCGAUUCAAGCUUCACAAAGAGCAGCCAAGAACAGUGCGGUGUUGGACAAAGAACAGGAGCAGAUGCUGGAAAGCGGUGAGACGGAGGUGUUUGUCUCUAAUCUGGCUCUUGGGAGCGCUGGUCACCCCAGCGGUGACGGAACCUGUGAAGCGAGCUCUGAGCCCCUUGCAUUAGACUGGGAUCCUGUCUCUGUAAGAGAGAUCAGGGCAGAGCUGUGCGAGGGGCCGGUUCAUAAAUCCUCA